rnacentral:tRNA from 1 species
GUCAGGAUGGCCGAGCGGUCUAAGGCGCUGCGUUGUGUUCUGGUCUCCGUAUGGAGGCGUGGGUUCGAAUCCCACUUCUGACA